CAUUCUGUGUGUAGAAAAUCAUAAUAUGCCACGGGAUGUCAUAAUUUUUUUUCAAAAAACAGCGAUAUUUUCAUCAUACAAAAUUUUUAAAUGAAAAAAUGAAACUGUAAAUAUUAAAUAUGCGUUGAAAAUAGGGGUACAAAUGGGUCGGAUUGGAUUGGAUCAUGAGCAUUUAAAUCCAAAAGUAAAUAUCAACCCAAGUCUCAAGAUUCAGAAUUAAAUAACUAUAAAUUCAUGAUCAUAAAAUAAACUAAACCUCCACUAUAAAAUUUUUAAGCUUACUUCACAAAUCUCCAAACCUGAAUUUCCUUCACCAAUCCGAACCUUAUUCCUCUGUACAAAAAAAAUAAAAAUAAAAAAAAUAUGAGCUACCCUAGCCCAGUAUGUAAAACAUACACUUUAUCAAAUCCAGUAAAUUUUUUCAUGAUAAUGUAAUAUUUAGAAAAUAACAGAUAAUAUAAAAUAAAGUAUUUCAUAAAGCAUAUAAUAAAAUAAGUCAUAAACCAAUCAUGCAUGUAUAAAUCAUGAACAUUUCAUAAACAU
rnacentral:lncRNA from 1 species